UGCAAGUCGAACGAAGUACAAUACUUAGUGGCAGACGGGUGAGUAACAUGUAGGUAUCUGGCCUUUGGCCUGGAAUAACACGAGGAAACUUGUGCUAAUACCGGAUAAGUCUUUACGGAGAAAGCUUUAUGCACCAUUGGAUGAGCCUGCACUUGAUUAGUUUGUUGGUGGGGUAAUGGCCUACCAAGACUGUGAUCAAUAGCUGAUUUGAGAGGAUGAUCAGCCACAUUGGGACUGAGACACGGCCCAAACUCCUACGGGAGGCAGCAGUGGGGAAUCUUGCACAAUGGAGGAAACUCUGAUGCAGCGAUGCCGCGUGAGUGAAGAAGGCCUUUGGGUUGUAAAGCUCUUUCGUCGGGGAAGAAAAUGACUGUACCCGAAUAAGAAGGUCCGGCUAACUUCGUGCCAGCAGCCGCGGUAAUACGAAGGGACCUAGCGUAGUUCGGAAUUACUGGGCUUAAAGAGUUCGUAGGUGGUUGAAAAAGUUGGUGGUGAAAUCCCAGAGCUUAACUCUGGAACUGCCAUCAAAACUUUUCAGCUAGAGUAUGAUAGAGGAAAGCAGAAUUUCUAGUGUAGAGGUGAAAUUCGUAGAUAUUAGAAAGAAUACCAAUUGCGAAGGCAGCUUUCUGGAUCAUUACUGACACUGAGGAACGAAAGCAUGGGUAGCGAAGAGGAUUAGAUACCCUCGUAGUCCAUGCCGUAAACGAUGUGUGUUAGACGUUGGAAAUUUAUUUUCAGUGUCGCAGCGAAAGCGAUAAACACACCGCCUGGGGAGUACGACCGCAAGGUUAAAACUCAAAUGAAUUGACGGGGACCCGCACAAGUAGUGGAGCAUGUGGUUUAAUUCGAAGAUACGCGCAGAACCUUACCAACACUUGACAUGUUCGUCGCGACUCUAAGAGAUUAGAGUUUUCGGUUCGGCCGGACGAAACACAGGUGCUGCAUGGCUGUCGUCAGCUCGUGUCGUGAGAUGUUGGGUUAAGUCCCGCAACGAGCGCAACCCUCACUUUUAGUUGCCAUCAUUAAGUUGGGCACUCUGAAAGAACUGCCAGUGAUAAGCUGGAGGAAGGUGGGGAUGACGUCAAGUCCUCAUGGCCCUUACGUGUUGGGCUACACACGUGCUACAAUGGUAUCUACAACAGGAAGCAAGACUGCGAGGUCAAGCAAAUCCCUAAAAGAUACCUCAGUUCGGAUUGCACUCUGCAACUCGAGUGCAUGAAGCUGGAAUUACUAGUAAUCGUGGAUCAGCGUGCCACGGUGAAUGCGUUCCCGGGUCUUGUACACACCGCCCGUCACACCAUGGGAGUUGGUUCUACCUUAAG
rnacentral:rRNA from 1 species